UUUCUUAUAAGUUUUAAUUAAUUGAAUUAAGUUGUCAGUGUAUAAUAUUUAUAAAAUGAUGAAAAUUAAAACCCAAAACAAACUUACGCUGUUGGAUGCUAUAUACGCCAAAGAAAAAGUGUAUUGUUUGGUAAUUCUAAAACAACAUCAAAUGAUGAAAAAGUGGAAUCUUAGAAAAGUGUCCAUAAUAUAGCCCAUGCAUUACAACUUGCAACAUCAGAUCGUUCUUGGCAGUUCACUAGGGACAAGUUGUAUGGGCUGUGGAAAUAUCGCACUUUAGAAAAGAGGGAUAAUAAGAAGGGGAAAUUCACUGGUAAGACGGGAGGAAAAAUGCCAGUAUGAUGAUGUUGAUCUAGCCAUACUAGAUAUUUUAGAUGAAGAUUCAGCAGUAGUGCAAGGAAGUUAUCUGAGGAUGAUGUAAGUUUGAUACGAUUUUAGGUAUGGCCUAUGAUCCAAACAAAUAACUAUGUCGAAUUU